UCGAAAAAUAUUUUGGUUUUGUUCAUUAAAUUUAACAAACUUAUAAUAGUGGUGCUUUCAUUUUUAAAGCACAAAGUAACAAUCGAGUAAAAGAAUAACAAUAAUUACAAUAUUUUUCUCCUCAUUCUACAGUUCAAAAUGAAGUGUUUCAUUUUGUUGCUCAUUUUGCUUUCAACAUUUAAUACAAUCUCGGGCAUAUGUGCACCCAAAGCAGAUAAUGUCGAGAACUGUCAAGCAGUGUGCAAACAUGUACGUGGAUGCAUAGCGUUUAACUACGUUUCAUCUAAUAAACUUUGCUUCUUAAAGGAUAAAGCACGGGAGUGGAAACCAAUAAUAUCAAUUGGAUCUUUUUCCGGCUAUGCAACUGGUCCGAUUAAUCCAAUUCUUAAGAACAUAGAUUUUAACCAAGGAGACAUGGAUGAUUGCAAUGUAAAUCACAAAAGAACGAUCAAUGACAAUUCUUUGAAUAAAAAAAAGGAACAACAUUAAGUUGAACUUUUAUUUGAAAGCUAGUAUUAUGUAGUUUUGUAA